rnacentral:lncRNA from 1 species
AUGUCGGCCCUGAAGCCCUUGGUGUAUGGAGGCCUGGCCUCCAUCAAGGUGGAGCGCAGUACCUUUCCAAUUGAUUUAACCAAGACACGGCUUCAGAUUCAAGGCCCGAAGAACGAUGCAAACUUUAAAGAAAUCAGGUAUGGAGGAAUGUUGCAUGUAUUAGUGAGGAUAGGCAGAGAGGAAGGCCCGAAAGCACUAUAUUCGGGGAUUGCCCCAGCGAUGUUACACCAGGUUUCCUAUGGCACCAUCAAGAUAGACACCUAUCAGAGCUUGAAGUGGUUAUUUGUCGAGCGUCCAGAAGAUGAAACCCUUCUGAUAAAUGUGGUCUGUGGGAUUCUCUGGAGUCAUAUCCUCAAGCAUUGUUAAUCCAACAGAUGUUUUGAAGAUCAACACCCUGCAAGGAGGAAUGAUAGGCAACUUCAUUAACAUUUACCAGAAAGAGGGAAAGACAGGACUGUGGAAGGGCAUAUCCUUACCGCUCAGAGGGCUGCUACUAUGGGCUUCGUGGAGCUGCCGGUCUACAGCCUCACCAAGAAGCAUCUGAUUCUCUCAGGCCUGAUGGGAGACACUGUGUAUACCCAUUUCCUCUCAAGCUUCACCUGUGGGCUGGCAGGAGCCCUGGCCUCAAACCCUGUCAAUAUGUUGAGAACAUGUACGAUGAAUCAGAGAGUCCUCUGCGAUGACAAACGCCCUGGCUACAAAGAUACCCUGGAUUGCUUGUUACAGACAUGGAAGAAUGAAGGGUUUUUGCUCUAUAUAAAGGGUUUUGGCUAAAUUGGUUGGGAGUUGGUCCUUGGAAUCUUAUUUUCUUAGUGACAUAUGAGCAGUUGAAGAAACUGGAUUUGUGA